GAUGUCAGUAUAUCCUCUAAUACGUCAUUGAUGGUGAAGGAUGUUGCAGUCGAUGAUGUGGAUGUGGAAGAAGAUGACAGCUCAGAUGAAGAAGAGGUGGCAGCUGAUAGUGUACAUGAACCAACCGAGAAUGAGAAACAUGCCAGGUGUGGCAAUGACUGAUUUUGCUGAUCUUCGAAAAUGAUCAAUGGAGCUCAAGAUUUUCAUGGGAGCUGGACAAGAGAGAAGGAUCUUUGUCCGCAGGGAUUCAAUUCUAAGUCUCAUGGACUAUCACAGGAAGGAUCGGGACUUGGUUUUUCAUCGUAUUGUAGUGGUGAUAGUGGGAGAGGAGGUAGCUGAAGAUCUAGAUGGUGUCACCAGAGAGAUGUUUACAAUUUUUUUUCGGAAAGUUUUUUCGGAGUUUUUUAUAAGGAGAAAUGAAAAGGUUCC